rnacentral:rRNA from 1 species
GACUACUGGGGUAUCUAAUCCUGUUUGCUCCCCACGCUUUCGUGCAUGAGCGUCAGUACAGGCCCAGGAGAUUGCCUUCGCCAUCGGUGUUCCUCCGCAUAUCUACGCAUUUCACUGCUACACGCGGAAUUCCAUCUCCCUCUGCCGUACUCUAGUCAUGCAGUCACAAAUGCAGUUCCCAGGUUGAGCCCGGGGAUUUCACAUCUGUCUUGCAUAACCGCCUGCGCACGCUUUACGCCCAGUAAUUCCGAUUAACGCUCGCACCCUACGUAUUACCGCGGCUGCUGGCACGUAGUUAGCCGGUGCUUAUUCUUCAGGUACCGUCAUCCCUCCGAGGUAUUAACCCAAAGGAUUUCUUCCCUGACAAAAGCAGUUUACAACCCGAAGGCCUUCUUCCUGCACGCGGCAUGGCUGGAUCAGGCUUGCGCCCAUUGUCCAAAAUUCCCCACUGCAGCCACCCGUAGG